rnacentral:rRNA from 1 species
AUACGUAGGGGGCUAGCGUUAUCCGGAAUUACUGGGCGUAAAGGGUGCGUAGGUGGUUUCUUAAGUCAGAAGUGAAAGGCUACGGCUCAACCGUAGUAAGCUUUUGAAACUAAGAGACUUGAGUGCAGGAGAGGCGAGUAGAAUUCCUAGUGUAGCGGUGAAAUGCGUAGAUAUUAGGAGGAAUACCAGUUGCGAAGGCGGCUCUCUGGACUGUAACUGACACUGAGGCACGAAAGCGUGGGGAGCAAACAGGAUUAGAUACCCUGGUAGUCCACGCCGUAAACGAUGAGUACUAGCUGUCGGGGGUUACCCCCCUCGGUGGCGCAGCUAACGCAUUAAGUACUCCGCCUGGGAAGUACGCUCGCAAGAGUGAAACUCAAAGGAAUUGGCGGGG